CCUACGGGCUGCACCAGUGGGGAAUAUUGCACAAUGGGCGCAAGCCUGAUGCAGCCAUGCCGCGUGUAUGAAGAAGGCCUUCGGGUUGUAAAGUACUUUCAGCGGGAGGAAGGUGUUGUGGUUAAUAACCACAGCAAUUGACGUUACCCGCAGAAGAAGCACCGGCUAACUCCGUGCCAGCAGCCGCGGUAAUACGGAGGGUGCAAGCGUUAAUCGGAAUUACUGGGCGUAAAGCGCACGCAGGCGGUCUGUCAAGUCGGAUGUGAAAUCCCCGGGCUCAACCUGGGAACUGCAUUCGAAACUGGCAGGCUAGAGUCUUGUAGAGGGGGGUAGAAUUCCAGGUGUAGCGGUGAAAUGCGUAGAGAUCUGGAGGAAUACCGGUGGCGAAGGCGGCCCCCUGGACAAAGACUGACGCUCAGGUGCGAAAGCGUGGGGAGCAAACAGGAUUAGAUACCCGAGUAGUC
rnacentral:rRNA from 1 species